CUGCGACUGUUCAGCAAUAGGUAGCAGCCAUUGCCUUGAAUGCUCAACUGAAAUCUCAGAACUAUCAGAGUUUCGAUCCCUGCCAAGCAUUGGAGGACGCCUUUGUUUAUUUUCAAUGGAUUCAGGUACAGAAAGACGGCAAACUGGACAGGUAGACUGUUUCCUUAGCCAUAUAUCAAUGCAAUUGGCGGAUGCCUUCGUCUGUUUUCAAUAGAUUCAGGUACAGAAAGACGGCAAACUGGACAGGUAGACUGUUUCCUUAGCCAUAUAUCAAUGCAUGAAAGAUGAAAAUUAUGGCCACAUUUGGGCAUAAUUCUCAGAACUUCGUUCUCCUGGUACUCCGAUAAACAUAUACUGCACCUGAAAUUCAAAUAGCUUAACCUCAUCAAUGGCCAAACCUCUCAACCUUAGGUAUACCAAUCAGAAAACACUUCAUUUUAGUUACAACCUAGAAAAAGACUAGGUUGGAUCAAGACAAGAGGAAGUAGCAGCCUGUCCAGUACAAUUAUACUAAUUUGUAACCAAAAUGAAGAAUCAGCCUUAUGAUUUCACUGAUUCCGCUGUU
rnacentral:lncRNA from 1 species